GCGGGGAUAGCUCAGUUGGGAGAGCGUCAGACUGAAGAUCUGAAGGUCACGUGUUCGAUUCACGGCCACCGCA
rnacentral:tRNA from 1 species